UGUGGGAGGUGCCGACUCCUUUCCGUGCCGCAACUAACGCAUUAAGCACCCCGCCUGGGGAGUACGGCCGCAAGGCUAAAACCCAAAGGAAUUGACGGGGGCCCGCACAAGCAGCGGAGCAUGUUGUUUAAUUCGAUGCAACGCGAAGAACCUUACCAGGGCUUGACAUGCGCUGGAAACCCGUAGAAAUACGGCCCCCUUCGGGACCAGUGCACAGGUGGUGCAUGGCUGUCGUCAGCCCGUGUCGUGAGAUGUUGGGUUAAGCCCCGCAACGAGCGCAACCCCUGUCCCAUGUUGCCAGCGAGUCAUGUCGGGGACUCAUGGGAGACUGCCGGUGACAAAUCGGAGGAAGGUGGGGAUGAUGUCAAGUCAUCAUGCCCCUUAUGCCCUGGGCUACAAACGUGCUACAUUGGCCGGUACAGAGGGCUGCAAACCCGCGAGGGUGAGCGAAUCCAAAAAAGCCGGUCCCGGUUCGGAUUGAAGGCUGAAACUCGCCUUCAUGAAGGCGGAGUUGCUAGUAAUCGCGGAUCAGCAACGCCGCGGUGAA
rnacentral:rRNA from 1 species